GCGCCGGUGGUGUAAGACGUGGCAUCGUUGCCCGGAAAGCAGAAGAUGCCGGUUCGAGUCCCGCCCGGCGUA
rnacentral:tRNA from 1 species